GCGUGUUUCGCGAUAAUUUAUCGUAUUAUAUGAGAUAUAAAUUUAUUUAUGAAAAAAAAACUAUUAUAUACCUCCAUGGGCAUUCAAGAUAUUCUUUUUCAUUUGUUUUGUUUAUUAUAUAAAAGCAUAGAUAAUUUGAAAGAGAGAAAAUAAAAACGAAACGAAUACGGAGUCUGUUGGCUCUCCUUCUCGUUAUUUUCAGCGAAUCGGUCGACGGAGACUUCUUUAUCGGCGCUUAGAUAGCCUAGUUUCUUGAAGCGAAUCAAAACAGCAGUCUACCACGUGCGUUCCUUCUUUUCCGUUCGUGUUACACGGUUUUAUGUACGUGCGAACGAAAAGAAAUCUAUUUAAUAUCGGCAAUGAAAGAUAAACACUUUCGAGAUACUUUCGUUGAACCUAAUUCUCUGUGGAACUUUAUAUACUAUACGUAUACAUAAUCAUAUUCUUAUAUAAAUAAGUAUAUAAUGAAGAAAGUAUGGUGUUAUGAUCGUUGAGCCUCCUAAAACCGUUUAGAGAUGCUCCUUCGGAUCUCGAUAAUAAGAGAUUACGUACGAAAGCGAUUUAGCUCGUACGAGAGAGGGACUCCGGUCUGAGCGCGCGCGCGCGCUAGAGAGAGAGAGAGAGAGAGAGAAUGCAGUCAAGCACGUGGGUACACGCGUAAUAUCUGGGUAAUCGUUACGUUAGAUAGGGAUCAAUGCCAAACGCGUUGGAACUCGAGAUACCGCAAUUUAUCAUUAAACGCCCACGUUUACGUUUCGUUAACCCAAAGUGCAGAAUUGUGCCAUUCCCGUUACUCCUACGGCAAUUUCAGACAGACGGAUCGUUCGCGCGGCAAAUCAUUCUCGAUGCUAAGAGUGAGAUCGAGAUGAACAUCGUUGGGGAGAUGUCUCGAAGUAUUUUCUCUUUUCAACAGAUUGUUUCCGUCCGUGAUAAAGACAUUUAAAUAAUAAAAACAUGAUAUACUACCUUAACUACAAAAGGAAUUUCUUAUAUUUAUUUUUUAUUAAUAUAAUAUGACAGUUUUUCAAAAUUAUAAGCUUAUUUGGAUUCGAUGUUUCCUUUCUUUUUUCUUUUUUUUUUUUUUUUCGACAACCUUAGUCGUACAUAAGAAAUUUUUGAAGCACACGAAGAUAUUCUGUGAAGAUCUCGAGAAUGUCCGACGUGGUCCGACGGCUUGCUUUUGGGUAACAUAAAACAACGCCGUGGGCGACUCUCUCUCUCUCUUUCUUUCUCUCUCUCUCUCUCUUUCUCUCUCCAUCUCUCUUUCUUUCAUCUGCUGUGUUGAGUGAGCGCGCGCGCGCGCGCGCGCUUCGAUCUUCUUAAGAAGCAUGACGUCAUCGAAAGAGACUCCACCAGCUUGCACGUAACCCCGGUGUCUUUCGGUCGCCGCAUAAAACGAGAUAUGCCUCCUCGUAAACUCGUUCGUUUCUCCGCAAACCGAUGAGAGUUCGUUAAGAAGUCGAGAGCGUGCGCGUGAGCCCAAUGUUUUGUCACGCAGAUCAUUUUGACGUUUGCGUCUUUUAAAAUUAUGAUUUGCAUCAUUGCGCGAUUUUAUUUUUUACGACUCUUUUUCUUUAUAUCUUCUCCCCAUCUCUCUCUCUCUCUCUCUCUCUCUCUCUCUCUCUCUCUCUUUCUUACUCAUAUCAAUGCCCUAAUUCUCUUUACGAGUAAGACACUCCUUUAUUUGAUUUUAUACUACGAGGUUUGCUCCUUUCAAUGACGAUAUGUUCGUUAAAAAUUUAAUUUUUAAGAUCGAGACAGUUUACAUUUUAGAAAAGAAAAAAUGGAUAAGAUCAAUCGCGUAUCAAUCGAUUUUUUAUACAAUUAACAAUACUGGAGAAGACACGAGCAGAAUUCGUUUUCUCGUAUAGACGAUAAAGUGCGGGCGGAGUCGUGGGAGUUGCUCUUGUAAAACGCUUCUGCCUCUCCACAUUUGGAAGCGGUUCUCUUUCUAGACGCUGACGUUACGACUCUUUUUAUUUCUGAUAUUACACGCUCGUCUAAGUAAUAAUAUUUCUUUUCGAAUAACGAAGAAAGAGAAUUCCAUUAAUUUUUCCAUUGAAAAGCAUAAAUCGCGUGGGAGUGUUACGACCGUAAGUCUUGAUCUUUGAAAUAAGUAAGAUUUUAUAGUAACAUAAUGUUAGAUAGCGUUGCUAAGAGAGACUAUUUGUAAGCUGUCGCAUAAAUACUUACUCGAUAGCCUUUUUCUCCGGUACCGCCAUAUUCACCGCCUGCGCCUUUCUCACCUUUAGGUCCAGGAGGUCCAUCCGGUCCGAUUUCACCCGGAAGACCCUCUAGCCCUUGCUGUCCAGGUAUUCCAGGAAAACCAUAUUGUCCUUUUAUACCGGUACAAUUGCAUUUGUAGUUAUCUUUGCAAAUCUGAAAUGCACAAUGAACAAAAGCCUACGAUAAAACAAAAAAUAGAAAAAUAGGCAUUUUCAUGGUAGGGCUAAUAUUAAUUCAAACGCUGAUUAUAUUAACAAUAAAUUGUUCAUUUUAUUCAAAGUAAACUCCUUCAGCAUUAUAAUAAUAUUAUUCAACAAGGAGUCAAAUCAGGUUAUUAUGUUGAGCGAACAAGCAUUACUAUUUGCUUUCUCAUCAUGCAAGAGAAUGUCCUCCGUUGUUUGUUCAAAUCAUCGUGUAAAAUAUUAUGAAUUGUAGAUUUCUACAUAUUAAAUUCUUUUGCUAGCGUGCGCGCAGUUGUGUCAGGCUCAACUGCCAAUGUUUGAUGAAUCUUUUCGACGAGAUUUUUUCAUUCAGGACGUCUGUCAUUUCUAAAUUUUGCAAAUCACCUGAAAAGACAUAUACGACAAUAGACAAUCGUUUCUGUAAAGUUGUCUUAGAAUUUAAAAAGUCUGCGUUGCCAUUUAAUCGACUUUUAACGUAGAAUUUGACAUCAGCUAAUUGAUUUAUUAUAUAUGUCUAUAUGUUUGAUACUCAUAUGCAAACGUAUUAUGUUACUAUUAAUUGAAGACGUAUAGAAAAAAUGUCAAGAAAGAAAAAAAAGAAAUAAAUAAAUAAAUAAAAAAAAAAAAAGAAGAAAUGAAUGAAAUAAAAGGGAAAAGGCAAAAAAUGAAUAAAGAAAGAAUUUGCUACAUCCGCAAGUUGGUAUCGAAUUGAACGUGACGCGACUCAUUGCGAGAAAAUAGACGAUCUCGUGCGAUGACGAUAACGAUGACGAUGAUGAUAGCGAUGACGACGAGGACGAGCCAAACGAAGGACACAGGCAACGAGUAUCGCUUUAUGCAUAGGAUAUGCCUAACGGGUAAUGGCGAGGUCGAUGCGAAAAUGCACUCACUCGACAUCGCGUAGAUCGGUCUUGGCCUCGGCUAGUCUCGUCAAACGUUCGUCCGCGAGGCCGUUUUUACGGUAUUAGUACGACGAUUAGCCGUCUUCCGUUUGGUCGAUGAAGUCAUUUUGGGAAAAAAUUCAUUCGGUGUAUCUGUUAAAUCGAUCGGAUCAGAGGAAAGAAAUUACAUAUAUUUGUCUUUGGUUGUAGGAGAUUAAAAAAACGAAAAGCAAGGAGGAGUCGAGCAUCGAAGGACGUCGCUCUAUUUGCAGAGCGUCGGAGGCGAACGAAAAUGGAGAGUCGCUUCCACGCGUUUGCCUUGCGGAUGAAUAUUCCGCUUGUGUCAACUAAGCGUUUCGUGUUCGUCGCUCUCAACGAAUCUGCUGGAUAAAUUUGCUGGAAGACCUUCGACUUUUCAAUCUCUAUUAAUUCUCCCUUUUACGACAGAAAAAUACUUACAAUUAGAUUUAUUACAAUAUUGUCAUAUUUUACGAGCUAAUAAAUUAAUCAGGCAAAAGUAA